GACGAACGCUGGCGGCGUGCCUAAUACAUGCAAGUAGAACGCUGAAGGAGGAGCUUGCUCUUCUGGAUGAGUUGCGAACGGGUGAGUAACGCGUAGGUAACCUGCCUGGUAGCGGGGGAUAACUAUUGGAAACGAUAGCUAAUACCGCAUAAGAGUAGAUGUUGCAUGACAUUUGCUUAAAAGGUGCAAUUGCAUCACUACCAGAUGGACCUGCGUUGUAUUAGCUAGUUGGUGGGGUAACGGCUCACCAAGGCGACGAUACAUAGCCGACCUGAGAGGGUGAUCGGCCACACUGGGACUGAGACACGGCCCAGACUCCUACGGGAGGCAGCAGUAGGGAAUCUUCGGCAAUGGACGGAAGUCUGACCGAGCAACGCCGCGUGAGUGAGGAAGGUUUUCGGAUCGUAAAGCUCUGUUGUAAGAGAAGAACGAGUGUGAGAGUGGAAAGUUCACACUGUGACGGUAUCUUACCAGAAAGGGACGGCUAACUACGUG
rnacentral:rRNA from 1 species